rnacentral:lncRNA from 1 species
GUCAGUUAUUGCUGGGUAGUGAGUUCACAGAAAUACUAUGCUGUUGCCUGGCAACCUGUGGGCGGUACCUUGGAGAACCGGGAGAGAAGCAUGACAACGCGCAGCCUUGCUCCAGGGUUGACUUUUCUUUCCAAAGGACUCAAUGGGGAGAUGUCACUGCGUUUCCUUUGAACGGAAAAUGGAUCUGGUUUACUGCGGUGCUAAAGCUGGCCUCCAGCUUCCUCCUCCCAGACCACUGGAGAGCAUUGACAGCCGUCCCACUCCCGACCCUUUCCAGAAUAUCUCCCUUCUCUCCCCACACCAUGGAAGGUAUCGACCAGCAAACAGAUAUGUAUCUCUAGAUUAGGUCUUUCCUGUUUCUACUUCUCAGUUCAUUCUCUGGAGGUUGGAAGUGUGAUGGCUAUCUGCAGGCCAGAUUCCAAUACUUACUGGCACAGAAGCUUUAACCUGGUUCCAUUUUUCUGACCUGGGCUGAAUUCUUCCACCAACCUCCCAUAGGCAACGUGGUGGCCUCCCAGAUAUGGACGAUCAAUUGGCUUUUGCCCUACUGCAGCUCAGAAUUCCCAGAUUCAAGUUAUCUGUUAUCCUUAGUCUCUCCCAGGAGCAAGUAUUAUACACAUGUGCCACUAUGCCUGGCCCUUUUUAUCUGAUCCUUUGAAGAAUUUCAAUGGUAUUUUUAUUGCUAUUUAGGUCAUAUUGUCAACUUUCCUAUAUUAGUUCUAUUUAGAUUAUGUACAUUAAAUAUUUCUUCAAUUAU